CGUUUCGAAAUAUUUGGUCCAAGUUAAAAAAAUUAAAUUAAAAAUUCAAUAUUUCACAAUUAUUGGUUGGUACACUUUUUCCGCGUUUUUUGGCAUCAAAUUCUUUGUAAGCAGUCAGAGGAACAUAUUGGUUGUUACACUUUUUCCGUUUUUUGGCAUCAAAUUCUUUGUAAGCAGUCAGAGGAACGCGUAGCACAAAAUUCGUACGUGCUUUCAGUUCAACUGUGAGUUUUGUUGACGGAUUGUUGCUUGAACGAAGUUUGGUAGUGCGGUGCGAACUCAACGUAUUAGUUGAAAUUUACAACAAAUUGGAAGUGGUAUUCAAGUUUUAGUUAAAAUAGUGAAAAACCGCUGCACAUGGGUUCUUGCAUGUGCAAGAACAGUACUGAUGAUGGACCGGGAGUAAAUGAUGCCUAUGGCGUCGGUGAUGACGCUUUUGGAAGAGCUCGUUUAGGUGCGGAGGCGCAGCCUCGCGCAUCGUAUAGCGGUGGCCUUGUUAGAAAAUCUUUGUCAGCCACUGUAGACACACUGGUCAACGAGACGCUUGAAGUAAUUGGUACAAUUACUGAUAGUGAUCCAGAGCCACCUAGUUCUAUUUUAACUCUGCACGCAAUUACUGACAAGCCAACUGGUUGGAUUGAAAUGGUAAAAUCCCUUAUGCGUGUUGUACCAGUUGAACAUCCCAUGGGUCCUAGCGUUAUAGCAUUGUUAUUAGAUGACAGUCCUUUGCCAACACGUGAAUCUGUGUCAAAGGUUGCUGAUAUGAUAAAUUCAAAUUUAAAGCGUAGUCCCCGCAAGGAGCGUAAUUUAUGUGUAAUAUUGGGCUGUUUAGCAGAAAAGCUAGCUGGUCCAAGUAGUGUUGCACUGUUAAAUGAAAAUACACUAAAGUACCUGAUAGCUAAUUUAUCUGAUAAUGUUGAGCCCAAUGUUAAGUUAUUGUCGCUGAUUGCUUUGGAGAAGUGCGCACAAACCAGCGAAAACAAAACUGCUAUAAAGAAAAUAUUGACAGAGAUUGAUAAAAACCCGUUGCCAGAUUUGGAAAAACAUUACAAUUCAAAAGACUAUUUGCAGAGACAAAUAGGUUUUUGUGCACGUUGGUGUUUGGAUAAUUAUUUCAUAGUGGAUCAACGCUCGUAUGCAUAUGAGUCAACUGACGUUACUUACAUCAAUGCAAUGCUUAAUACAAAUGAUGUCAGUGAAUAUUUAAAAAUUUCUCCGGAUGGUCUCGAGGCACGCUGCGAUGCGUACACUUUUGAAAGUGUUCGUUGUACAUUCCAGAUAACAAGUGGUUGUUGGUAUUACGAAGUACUAUUGGUAACCCCUGGUGUCAUGCAAAUCGGUUGGGCAACUAAAGAAUCCAGCUUCUUAAGUGACGAUGGCUACGGAAUUGGUGACGAUAAAUUUUCAAUUGGUUUUGAUGGUUGCCGCAAAUUGAUUUGGCAUAAUGCUAAAUCAAUUGGUCAUAAUUUAUCUACCUGGAAAAGUGGAUCAGUUUUAGGUUGCUUAAUUGAUAUAGAAAAGCAUGAAGUUAUUUUCAGUUUAGAUGGCCGUCAAACUGAACCGUACAAACAAGUAUUUCAUACUCCAAAUCAAGGGUUUUUCGCUGCAGGCAGUUUUAUGUCUUUUCAGCAGUGUCGUUUUAACUUCGGUUUAGAACCAUUUCGUUAUCCACCGAAUAGACAUUUCCGCAAUUUUAACGAUUUUGGAAACCUCACCAAGGAUGACAAGAUUGUGUUGCCAAGGCAUAUUUAUUUAGAUUUAAUGCGUAAAGUAAGUGUGGAGGAAGAUUCAUGUACCAUUUGUUUUGACCAAAAGGCUAUUGUAAGACUGGAGCCGUGCCGGCAUAGGGGCUUUUGUGAAACGUGCGCGGAUCAAAUAUCUCAUUGUCCAAUGUGUCGCUCUGAUAUUAAAGGAAAGCUUGUAGAACAAACCGACAUUGUCAAAUCGGAGGAGCUCACAGAAGCUAUAACUACGAGCACAAACGAAGCAGCCUGUAACAACAAUCCUGGUGAUCCUAUAGAAAAAAAAUACCCUGCGUGACGCAAUUAAUUAAAAGCGACAACAUCUAAAACAUCAAAAAACUGAGCAUAAAUACAAAUCUUAAUUAUCUUGACGCGAUGUUUCCGUCUACAUUGGAAUAUGCCAUAAAAACAUGAAUGACUCUGCAUUUUAAAAGGAAUAUUCAAAAUUAUAUUCCAUACUUCACAAUUCAUAAAUUAUAUUUUAUAUUAACAA